AUGACCACUUUGCUAAUAGUUGAGACUCAAUCUGGAAACAUUUCUGUCUAUAUUCCUACUAAUGUAAUCUCCAUUAUAGAUGAAUAAAUAUUCUUAUCUGUGAAUCUAUUCAUCGCCGGAAUUUGACCCGCUAUUAAUAUGGGUAUUUUUGUUUCAAUAGUAGGAUCCGCAACUCAAGUUAAAGUCAUGAAACAAGUAGCUGACAAAUCUUAAUUGGAACUAGCUCAACUCGCAGACUUACAAGCCUUUGCACAAUUCGCCUCUGCUCUUGAUAAAAGAAGAUAGAAUCAAUUGGCAAGGGGUUGAUGACUAAGGGAAUUGCUUAAACAAUCCCAGGCAAAUCCUCUCCCGGUGGAAGAGAAGAUAGCUACUAUUUAUACCAAAACAAGAGAAUAUCUUGAUUCGUUAGAAAUAGUAUAG
rnacentral:rRNA from 1 species